rnacentral:lncRNA from 1 species
AGUUAAUUUGGUAUACACAUACUUGAAGUGACAGUAGAAACCAACCUACAAAAUAUUGUUGUUCAAUGUAAAAUUUUUUAAAAUUUAAUUUUAAGAAACUACGUUCGUCGUAAUGGAAGAUAAUGUUAAUUUAAGAGUCUGGUAGAUGAGUACAAAUUUGAAGUUCGGCGUUUUUAUAGAGAUAAUAUAGUCUGUUCAAAUUACAAAAUAUAAUUAUAAAUUUUUGAAGUUUGGUUGGAAGAUUAAUAAGGUUUUUUUUAUAGAUAAUUUUUUGUUUUUGAAAUUGCCCGAUUGCCCAAUAUGCCUUGUGUUUCUAUUUCAUCGGAUGUGGCACCUUCCCGUAUCCAAAGUUUUAUAUGGAGAUGAACUCUAGGAGGUCUUAUAUGCAGUCCAUAUAUGCUACAUGAUGCAAAUCCAACUACCUGCAAGUACCAAUCCUUACGAUUAGGGUCGACGGUUUUUUCCUCAAGGACUUGUUCGAUCUCCUUGUGUGCUAACACAAUCAACUUGGCCUUGUGUUUGGGGGUUGAUAAGGAGUACCAACCUUAUGAAUCACCACAUACUUUCUAUUAAAGACGUGAUGGGGCGUUACAAAGUGGGAGCCACCAUCAUGAUGAUAGCUCGGGGCAUACCAAUUUUAGAGAAAAUGUAUUCUUAAAGAACUUGACUUACACAUCAUGGUCAUUGGUACUUGCCGGUAUGGUUUUCUACUCAUUGGACCAUCUUAUUCUAUGGCCAUGAAAAUAUAGAGAUAUCCACACCAAUUGAAAAUAGUCUCAUAAAAUUAUACCAGGAUCCAUAAUAAAACCUCAGCAAUGAUAGGGGUAGUGGCAUCAUGUGCCUCCGGAUAGAUUUCCUAAACGUUGGUAUCUAUCACAACGUGCACAAAGUGUGAACAUCAUGGAAUAAGAUGGCCAAAAAAACUGCUUUGUAAGAUAUUUGGGGAAGUUUUGCGUGAUGAAAAGUGUCCCAUCUCACGCUUGUGAAUGACAAAACUUUAUUAUGUCUUCACCUCUUGUCGGGAACACACCAACAUGACAAUUUGAUCGGGGUAGUGACCACUUGAAUCGGGGCAGUACUUAAACAGUAGUAUCUUCCAAGGAAAAUAUCGCUCCUUCCUAAAUAAUUUAUUCUUAUCAUGCUAGACAGUGAGGGUAUCCGCUCAGUGGUAAAUAGUUUGCAAUGUCUGCAUACCAUGGAGUCAAUGUAUUUUGUGUGCAGUGAUUUAAAAAGUUUUCUCAUCCGGAAAGUGUUCAUUGAUUGGAAUGGAGUCCUUGAGUUUUUUAAUCAAUAGGUAGUCGCGACAAGUGAUCGGCUACGACGUUUUUUAUGCCCCCUUUUUCUUGGCUCGAUUUCAAUAUGGAACUCUUGUAAGAGAAUCACCUGACGAGUCAGACUUUUACUGGGCAUUUUUACAAGUUCGUAAUUUUAGCUACAUCUUCAUGUAAUGAGCUUGAAUUUCUCAGCUGAAAAUAUUUAAAAAUAAUUAAAAAUAAAUAAUAUUUCACAAUAUUGAAUAAUGGAUGGAAAAAUUAUAUAUAUUUGUAUGCUUUUUAAUUUUAUUUAUUUUAUCAAUCCUCAUAUCACUACAUGAAAAAAGGAUACAAUGUUAAUCCAAACACGUAUUAAGAACAUAUUUACCCUUUUGUUUUCAUGUUAACAUGGGUGGGCUAUCAUUAAAGUCUGACCAAUGGAUCAAAUCCGCGUGCAACUUACCCCCCCUUGAAGGCAUACCAAUUUUUUCAUUUACAUAUUUUUAAAGAAUAUGGUAGGAACUAAACCCCACAAUAUGGAAUAAAAAUGGCCUAAAAAUUAAAUAAGCUGCGAUCGCUAAAAUCUUUAUUUUCUCUGUGUUGUUUUUGAUAGUGUCGUUUGUUGUGUAGGACACUUAUCUGAAACGACCCACAGCAUCAUUGUUGUUAUUGUUGAAGUACAGAAAGUUACAUGCCUUUUUCGUUUCCUUCCGCAUAAUGGAAGCUAACUUCUAUGAUUGAUAGUUGUGUUUUAGUAUAAACACUUACAUAAAUUUGCCAAACAAAAGUGACACUAAGAAAUGUCAAAACAUACAAUAAUUUACUAUAAAAUAAUUUAAUUUGGUAUACACAUACUUGAUUGACAGUAGAAACCAACCUACAAAUUUGUUGUUCAGAGAUGUAAAAAUAAAAUUUACUUUUUAGAAACUAGUUCGUUGUGGAGGGAAGAGAAUGUUAAGUUAGUUUGGUCAUAAGUACAAUUUGAAUCUUCGGUUUUAGAGAGAUUAAGAUAAUCUUUUUUUCAAAUUACAGAGUCGUAAUUAUAAAUUUGAAUGUUUGGGUGGAGACUAAUCAGUUUUUUUUUAUAGAUAAUUGUUUGGUUUUUGAAAUUAAAUAAUAAUUUUUCCUAGAUAAUACAAAAGAAUGUUUUUUAUUCUAAUUACACAUUUCCUUUUUUUUCCCUUCUGUUAAUGUUUGGUUUUGAUAUUAAGGCGAUACUGUUUGCUUUAUUAUGAAACGAAAUAAAA